AGAGUGAACGCUGGCGGUAGGCCUAACACAUGCAAGUCGAACGGCAGCACAGUGGUAGCAAUACCAUGGGUGGCGAGUGGCGGACGGGUGAGGAAUACAUCGGAAUCUACCUUUUCGUGGGGGAUAACGUAGGGAACUUACGCUAAUACCGCAUACGCCCUUCGGGGGAAAGCCGGGGAUCGCAAGACCUGGCGCGGAUAGAUGAGCCGAUGUCGGAUUAGCUAGUUGGUGAGGUAAUGGCUCACCAAGGCGACGAUCCGUAGCUGGUCUGAGAGGAUGAUCAGCCACACUGGAACUGAGACACGGUCCAGACCUCCGUACGGGAGGCAGCGAGGUGGGAAUAGUUAGGACAAGUGGGACCGACGAACG
rnacentral:rRNA from 1 species